UUUUGAAGAACUAAGUUUGAUACACAAUUUCAUCAAAAUUAAAAGCAUUGGAAAAUAUGCGUUUUUUUCUCGACAGAACCUUCUAGUUGGUUUUGAUUUAAUGCAUGCAUUUACGAUCAUACAUUAUACAUUUAUAGGACUCCAAGGGAACGAGACAAGCAACGGACCAUGGAGAUGGGAUAACGAAUGCAGCAAAACAAAAAAGGGUUAUCGAAACGGAUUUUGAGCAAACACUGAGAAACGAAGAGAAGAAAACUGUCAUGGAAAUGGGAAAUUUUUUCAAGCAACGACUUUCAGAAGACGUGGAGAAGGUCGGAACUGAGAUCAUAUUGGAAGAACAAAAUAUAAAUCAACACUCGGAGGCUGUUGCAGCGUACAUUCGGAAGUGCAUGAAUAUCUGCUGGUCAAUGUGCAGACAUAUGCCACCUAUGCAUGUUGAUGUCCCUGAUGUUACUGGAUGCAUUCAUUUUGAUACAAAUAAGUACAAACCCUACACAAAAAGCGGGAGUUAUGUGCACUAUAUUGUCUGGCCUGCUUUGUACCUUCAUGAAGGGGGACCUGUGUUGUGUAAGGGUGUUGCUCAAGGAAGAAAAUAAGUUAUAAAUGUUAACAUGUAUGACGUUUUUAAAUCAAUGUACUUGGAAACCAUGCUCAUGAAGAUAAUAAUUCUGACAAAUCAUCGUCAGAGUAGGAAAGUAUGAAGGAGCGGAUCUUACAGUCGUUGUUGCAAGUUUUCUAGUAUUUGAAUAUUGUAGUCUUAAUGAAAUUUAUAAUUGUUUAACAACAAAUCUUCUGUUCCUUCUGUUGUAAACUUAUUUCAUUUUGAUUGCAGUAUAACUGUAAAAAGAACAUAUAAAAUUGUAAACUUUUUGACCUCAUGUAACCCAGUUCUUAACUUCACCUAUAUUUCAUACAGCCAAUUCAUUUCACAUUUGCUGCAUUUAUAAGCCGUUUCUUUCCCCGCUGGUAACUGGCUAGGCAUUCGUUUGGCUUCCAGGCAAUGUCUGGGUCUGUCAUAUGUAUGCCACUGAGAGCCGGUCUUUCAAAAUAGGCUAAGCAGCAAAUUAUAUAUAUUUUUUGCUAUAAAAUUAGGAUAAAUAUCAUUAAGAUCGGGUCAAAAUUGUGACCUCCAGAGUGUUUAUAGUAAAAAUGUUAAUGAUGGACCACAGACACAGGACAAUUUAAUAGAAAAGAAAAUGAAAUUAAAUUUUACUGUAGUGUAACUUUGGUGACUUUGAAGUAUUGAAAUAUUUUUUCCUCUGAUAUAUAUCAAUAUCUCAGGUCAACAAGACCCCCGAAGAGUUUUGCCAAAGGAGAAUGGUUCCCAUACUAGGACUCUGGUUAUAGAUACCUGUACAAAAAUUAAUUCCCCAUCUUUACAGUAUCAAAAUGCGACCAAUAGCAUGAAAACAAUUACAUAAAAUUUAUAUAACUGACACUCUACUGCAUGUAUAAGGCUAAUCUUAGUCAAAUCGUCACAUCGAAAAUUCAAUUUAUUAGAGACAAAGUUAUAUAUUGAACAAGAGGAUAUCAAUCAUCCAGGCGUUCUCCAGUUAUUGACAGAAAACUGUUUUCAAUCUCCAUGUUACAGAGACUGCCAACUUUGCCAAACCAGACA
rnacentral:lncRNA from 1 species